CUCCUCCCCAAGAUCCCCCUGCUCGGCUGCCGCCGCCGCCGCUCCCGCUGCCACCUCGCCAUGGAGGUUGUAGACCUCGCCGUCCCCUGCAGCGACCAACGAUUCGAGGUGAAGGACCUUCCCCGGACCCCCUCCCUUGCGGUCAUCUCUUUCCCCUUCUCUGCGCGAGCCGGCCGGCUCGGCAACCUCCGCCUCCUCUACUCCAGCCAGUCGCCGUCGCGCGGCCUCAUCUCCUCGCCGUGGUCUGGGGCAGCGGCCAGUCGCAAUCGUCGUCGCCGUCCCCUGCUCCGCCCUCCUCUUGGCAACCUCCACUUCCCGUUACUGACAUUGAGCCGCCGCCAUCCUGCCAAGCAUGGGGGCCGCCGCGCUGCGCGGGACGACGAGGACAUCAGCCCGAGGAUCUACUUACGUGAGGAGGAGCUACCUUUCCUCCUUAUCUGGAUGAGUUCGCUACGUCCCCAGCUAUGCCGGCAAAACUACAACCAUUGUUCAUGAUCUUGGACCUCUUGUUUUCCUGGCUGCUACUUCUCCAUUGAUGGUUCUACGGAUUUGUUAGGUGGUCUCCCAAGCGUUGUUCAACAUAGACAUGGAUGACGCCGGCCAGCGGCACGACUUCUUGCCCUCAUACACCUCUUCUCCAUAUGCCAUUGGAUUUAUAAACGACAGUCACGUUGCUUCAUUUCGUUGGUUCUUGCAGGAGUAUCCGUGUAAAGUAUAUUUCACUCAAUGGGCAUUUAAGGUUUGUGAGAUUGAUUGCAACGAAAUCUGAUAUGCGUCAGAGUUUGAAUUGGACCUUUUCAAAAAGACCUAAUAGGUCUCUCUAUAAAGAGUACACAUCAGAAAAUUCAAUGCAGUCCCAAUAUACUAACGAGGUACAUCACAUUGCUUAUCUUUGUUAGUUCUUACUAUCGUAAUCCCACGAAUAUGAUAUGCGCCAGAGUUUGAAUGAUGCAGCGUACAAAGAUAUACAAGAUGUGGUUGUGUAAAAUGGCUCGAUGAUGAACUCGGUUCCCUGGUGUUUACCUGAGCCUUUGCCCUUUUCUUGACCCAUGAGUUAAUAUGAUUUCUAUUUCAUCAUUUUCAUGUUGAUAAUCUGCGAUCUUCGUGCUUAUAAAAUUAUGCUAAUAGAUUGAGCUUAUGUAACCUCAAUCUGUAUUUCAAACAGGUGGUGACUUUGUUGUUGGG